ensembl:rRNA 5S_rRNA 5S ribosomal RNA
AUUUACGGCCAUACCAUCCUGAAUAUGCCCAAUCCCAUCCGAUCUUGGAAGCUAAGCAAGGUCGGGCUUGGUUAGUACUUGGAUGGAAGACCGCCUGGGAAUACUGAGUGCUGUAAGAU